UCUAAAAACUUUGACGAAGGUCACAACGCUUAUGAUAAUUUUUUUAUUGAACAAAAUAAUUUUUUUAAAAAUAAAAUUCAAAUUAAAAGCUGCAAAAAUAUCGUGAUUUGAAACUUUAGGAAAAAAAUUGAAUGCCUCAUGAAAGUACAUGACAAUUUUUAGUAGUUUUUUUAUUGUUUUCCUCUGCAUUCGUCUUGUUUCAAAAAUUUUUGAACUGCGACAAAAUUAUACAGUAUAUAUAAGAAAGUGUCAAAGAGUAUAGAAACGUUUGCAUUGGCAGAACAUUUUGAAAAUUUAAACUUCAAUAACUGCAAUCCACACGUAUAUAUAAUAUAACAGCAAAUUGAGUGAAAAUAACAACAAUGUUGAAAAUUUACUGGCUGUUAUUUAUUGUAACAUUUUUAUUAUUUACUAAUGAGUGUCAUGCUGAAUGUUGUUAUCCAACUGGCGACGGUAGUAGAUCUUGCAAGAUGAAUAGAGAAAAGUGCUCUGUUUGUAAGGAUGGAAAUGAAGUUGUAAAAGGAUUUUAUUGUGGUGUUGGACCUUGUAAUAUUUUUGGAUGUAACUGUGAGGGUGGCUGUAGACGUAAAAAAAAUUGACAAAAUUAUUUUUAUCGAAAUUAUUCACUAUGAAUGAAUAAUUAUUGUUAUUUUACAAAUUUUAUUUGUAAAUAAAGUGAAUUGAUACAAAAAAUUA